AAAGAGUUAGUUAAAUUAUAAUAUAAGAUUGUCAGUCUUAAGUUACUAUAUAGAAAUUAGUACUCUUUA
rnacentral:tRNA from 1 species